UGGCUAUAUCACGUUGGAACACCGUUUCUCAUUCAAUCACUGAAGUUAAGCAACGUCGAGCCUGUUGUGUACCUAGCUGGGUGACCACUUAGCAAUAGCAGGUGCUGUAU